AGCAAAUCUAGCCGCAGAUAAAACAAGAGAACAUGACAGGGUAAUGCUUUCAGCCAAUCAAACGUGAGGCACUUUUUUUCUAAUGACGUCACGCCAAGGUUUUCGGCGCGAGACAGAAGAUUGUAAACACGAUUAUGUGACUUAUUAAAACGGUCAUGUCUGUUGACUGGGGCGAUAUAACAGACGAGCAGUUGCUGGAAUUUGUAGUUGAGAGUGAAACUUCAGCCGCGACAGAACAUGAAGAUCACGAAGAGCGUGUCACUGAGAGGCAAACUCCGUUACAAGCCUACAGGGAGUAUAUCGAAGACGGAGAGACAAGUUAUAAUCAAGUCGACAGAUCAACACAAAACAUUCUUCACUUCAAUGCAACAGCCAACACCCCAUCGCUGGAUCUUUAGACAGUAAAUUGAAUAAUCUUAAAAGAUGAACGCGCGAGACUUGGUCGAUCAUGUUGCGAUCCGGGAAGCAUGUUCUGCAGUAGUGAAAUACUACAAGGACGCGAAGGUCAGGUGGAUCAUCUGUGGAUGGUACAAACCAGGCAUCGCGGCAGGGGCAGAAGUGGCGAAGGAACCCAAGUUCCACGUAACGCACGUUCGGCCUUAACGCGUGCUUGCCGAAGCGCCCAAGUACAAGUGUCCUGUGGCGCCAGUGGCCGCAGCAGAACGGCUUGAACUAGCGUUCCCUCGGCCGGCCGCCCAAGCAGCUGCUUGCGUCGACAAUGUCGAUGUCUAAGUAUGCAUGACAUGGAUGCACGGCCGUUAUAUAUAUAUGUGAAGAGUAGAUAAUAGAAGAUGCUAAUAAUGUGUUAUUGUGUUAUUGAGUUCUCUACUUAUAGAGCUCUGCGAGAAAUGCAGCAUACUCUACUGCUUAGAAACACACAGUAUGUAUAUGUCAACUAAUUACAUAAAAAUUGUAUACUGACCUACCUACGUUCUACCUACCAUACUACUAUCCUACUAUACUAUACCAUACCAUA